rnacentral:rRNA from 1 species
AUUGAACGCUGGCGGCAGGCUUAACACAUGCAAGUCGAGCGGAGAUGAGGUGCUUGCACCUUAUCUUAGCGGCGGACGGGUGAGUAAUGCUUAGGAAUCUGCCUAUUAGUGGGGGACAACAUUCCGAAAGGAAUGCUAAUACCGCAUACGUCCUACGGGAGAAAGCAGGGGAUCUUCGGACCUUGCGCUAAUAGAUGAGCCUAAGUCGGAUUGGCUAGUUGGUGGGGUAAAGGCCUACCAAGGCGACGAUCUGUAGCGGGUCUGAGAGGAUGCUCCGCCACACUGGGACUGAGACACGGCCCAGACUCCUACGGGAGGCAGCAGUGGGGAAUAUUGGACAAUGGGGGGAACCCUGAUCCAGCCAUGCCGCGUGUGUGAAGAAGGCCUUAUGGUUGUAAAGCACUUUAAGCGAGGAGGAGGCUACUGAGACUAAUACUCUUGGAUAGUGGACGUUACUCGCAGAAUAAGCACCGGCUAACUCUGUGCCAGCCGCCGCGGUAA